rnacentral:rRNA from 1 species
UACGGAGGGUGCAAGCGUUAUCCGGAUUUAUUGGGUUUAAAGGGUCCGUAGGCGGACUAGUAAGUCAGUGGUGAAAUCCUGCAGCUCAACUGUAGAACUGCCAUUGAUACUGCUAGUCUUGAAUUCGGUUGAAGUGGGCGGAAUAUGGCAUGUAGCGGUGAAAUGCUUAGAUAUGCCAUAGAACACCGAUUGCGUAGGCAGCUCACUAAGCCUGGAUUGACGCUGAGGGACGAAAGCGUGGGGAGCGAACAGG